UACGAAGGGGGCUAGCGUUGUUCGGAAUUACUGGGCGUAAAGCGCACGUAGGCGGAUCGAUCAGUCAGGGGUGAAAUCCCAGAGCUCAACUCUGGAACUGCCUUUGAUACUGUCGAUCUGGAGUAUGGAAGAGGUAAGUGGAAUUCCGAGUGUAGAGGUGAAAUUCGUAGAUAUUCGGAGGAACACCAGUGGCGAAGGCGGCUUACUGGUCCAUUACUGACGCUGAGGUGCGAAAGCGUGGGGAGCAAACAGG
rnacentral:rRNA from 1 species